UCUGAGCCCAAGCCAAGCCAUCGCAUGCCCUGUGACUUGCACGUAUAUGCCCAGAUGGCCUGAAGUAACUGAAGAAUCACAAAAGAAGUGAAUAUGCCCUGCCCCGCCUUAACUGAUGACAUUCCACCACAAAAGAAGUGAAAAAGGCCGGUCCUUGCCUUAAGUGAUGACAUUACCUUGUGAAAGUCCUUUUCCUGGCUCCUCCUGGCUCAAAAAGCACCCCCACUGAGCACCUUGCGACCCCCACUCCUGCCCGCCAGAGAACAAACCCCCUUUGACUGUAAUUUUCCUUUACCUACCCAAAUCCUAUAAAAUGGCCCCACCCUUAUCUCCCUUCACUGACUCUCUUUUCGGACUCAGCCCGCCUGCACCCAGGUGAAAUAAACAGCCUUGUUGCUCACACAAAGCCUGUUUGGUGGUCUCUUCACACGGACGCGCAUGAAAUUUGGUGCCGUGACUCGGAUCGGGGGACCUCCCUUGGGAGAUCAAUCCCCUGUCCUCCUGCUCUUUGCUCUGUGAGAAAGAUCCACCUACGACCUCAGGUCCUCAGACCAACCAGCCCAAGAAACAUCUCACCAAUUUUAAAUCGGGUAAGCGGCCUCUUUUUACUCUCUUCUCCAACCGCCCUCACUAUCCCUCAGCCUCUUUCUCCUUUCAAUCUUGGUGCCACACUUCAAUCUCUCCCUUCUUUUAAUUUCAAUUCCUUUCAUUUUCUGGUAGAGACAAAGGAGACAUGUUUUAUCCCUGGACCCAAAACUCUGGCGCCGGUCAAGGACUAGGGAAGGCAGCCUUCCCUGGGUGUUUAAUCAUUUCAGGGACGCCUCUCUGAUUAUUUACCCAGGUUUCAGAGGUGUCAGACCACGCAGGGACGCCUGCCUUGGUCCUUCACCCUUAGUGACAAGUCCUGCUUUUCUGGGGAAGGGGCAAGUACCCCAACCCCUUCUCUCCGUGUCUCUACCCCUUCUCCGCCUUUCUGGGGGGCAAGAAACCCCCAACCCUCUCUCCUUCACCCUGAGUGGCAAGUCCCACUUUUCUAGAGGAGGGGCAAGUACCCCAACCUCAUAUCUCUGCACCCCAAUCCCUUAUUUCCACACCCCAACCUCUUAUUAUCUCUGUGCCCCAAUCCCUUAUUUCCAUGCCCCAACCUCUUAUCUCUGCACCCCAAUCCCUUAUUUCCAUGCCCCGACAUCUUAUAUCUCCACACCCCGACCUCGUAUCUCUGCACCCCGACCCCUUUCCUGCUUUUCUGGAGGGUAAGAACCCCUGAACCACUUCCCUCCCUGUCUCUACUCUCCCUUUUCUUUAAACUUGCCUCCUUCACUAUAGGCAACCUUCCACCCUCCAUUCCUCCUUCUUCUCCCUUAGCCUGUGUUCUCAAAAACUUAAAACCUCUUCAACUCACGCGUGACCUAAAACCUAAAUGCCUUAUUUUCUUCUGCAAUGCCGCUUGACCCCAGUACAAACUCAACAGUAGUUCCAAAUAGCCAGAAAACAGCACUUUCAAUUUUUCCAUCCUGCAAGAUCUAAAUAAUUCUUGUCGUAAAAUGGGCAAACGGUCUGAGGUGCCUGACAUCCAGGCAUUCUUUUACACAUCAGUCCCUCCCUAGUCUCUGUGGCCAGUACAACUCAUCCCAAAUCUUCCUUCUUUCCCUCACACCUGUCCCCCUCAGUGCCAACCCCAAGCAUCGCUGAGUCUUUCUAAUCUUCCUUUUCUAUAGACCCAUCUGACCUCUCCCCUCCUCCCCAGGCUGCUCCUCACCAGGCUGAGCUAGGUCCCAAUUCUUCCUCAGCCUCCGCUCCUCCACCCUAUAAUCCUUUUAUCACCUCCUCUCCUCACACCCGGUCCGGUCCGGUCCGGCUUACAGUUUCAUUCCGUGACUAGCCCUCCCCUACCUGCCCAGCAAUUUACUCUUAAAAAGGUGGCUGGAGCUAAAGGCAUAGUCAAGGUUAAUGCUCCUUUUUCUUUAUCCCAAAUCAGAUAGCGUUUAGGCUCUUUAUCAUAUAUAAAAAUCCAGGCCAGUUCAUAACUUGUUUGGCAGCAACCCUGAGACGCUUUACAGCCCUAGACCCUAAAAGGUCAAAAGGCUGUCUUAUUCUCAAAAUACAUUUUAUUACCCAAUCUGCUCCCGACAUUAAAUAAACUCCAAAAAUUAAAUUCCAGCCCUCAAACCCCACAACAGGAUUUAAUUAACCUUGCCUUCAAGGUGUACAAUAAUAGAAAAAAGUUGCAAUUCCUUGCCUCCACUGUGAGACAAACCCCAGCCACAUCUCUAGCACACAAGAACUUCCAAAUGCCUGAACUGCAGUGGCCAGGCGUUCCUCCAGGACCGCCUCCCCCAGGAGCUUGCUACAAGUGCCAGAAAUCUGGCCACCAGGCCAAGGAAUGCCUGCAGCCCAGGAUUCCUCCUAAGCCGCGUCCCAUCUGUGCGAGACCCCACUGGAAAUCGGACUGUCCAACUCACCUGGCAGCCACUCCCAGAGCCCCUGGAACUCUGGCCCAAGGCUCUCUGACUCCUUCCCAGAUCUUCUUGGCUUAGCAGCUGAAGACUGACGCUGCCCAAUCGCUUCGGAAGCCCCCCUACAUCACGGACGCCGAGCUUCAGAUAACUCUCACAGUGGAAGUUUGGUCCAGAGAGCUGCCUUAGACUCCCCAGUAAAUCUAUUCAAACAGCUGCCUCUGUUACCUUGACUCGUCUCAGAUGUCAUCGACCUGAGAUGGCUCCUGGUGCAAGGAAGACAUUAAGGGAAAUUUUCAAGACAAAAUUCCAAUUCAGCUACUUACCUAAGAAUGAAGCCCUGGCUGAAGACUGCUCUAUACAAUCUUAGAAGCAGGAAAAAUUCAAACUCUCCAUUCCUGUUGGAAGUGAGCUGAAACUUCAAAAAAGAGUUGCCAUCCAUCAUCAUAGAAGCAGGAAAAUUCAUCUUCCUUGUUGAAAAUAAGUGAAACUCCAGAAAAUGUGUUAUAUAGCAAAAUAAGCCUUAUAUAUCAACAAAAAUUUGGAAGAUCAGGAAUUCUCUGGAGGAGAGAGCUCCUAAAUUUCAGCAAAUAGUCCUAUUGGUUUGAGAAAUAAAGAUAUUCCAAGCUAGUACCAAGCACCAAUAGAUUUGUCAAAGGUCAAGGCAACCUCCAUUCAGUCUCUUCUAUUGGUUGCCAAUUUGUAAACCAGAAAGUAUAUGAGAUGGGUCUCAAUCAAUUUGAAAAUUUAUUUUGCCAAGGUUAGGGACAUGCCCAGACUAAGAAACAUGUAAUCACAGAAACAAUCUUUGGUCUGUGCCUUUCUCCAAAGAUGAAUUUGAGAGCUUCAAUAUUUAGGAGAAAAAAGUAAGCUGGAGGAGGAAGAAGAAGAGUAUGGUAAUCCACAUGAUGAAAGGGAAAAGAAACAGGUAGAGGAAUAGUAAAUUAUGUAUAUCUCAAACUCAGUAAAUCAGCACUUUACAUAAGAUACAGUGAACACAGAGUAGCAACCUGUGGAGACAUUUAACCUUUUAUCUGUAGGUAUCUGCUUAGGAACAAAAUGAAGGCAGUUAAUUGGAUGACUCAGCUUUCAGUGUAUUUUUUUUUUUUCUAACUUUGGCAUAGUUAAUUGGGGUCCUGAGUUUUUAUUUUUUUGUCAGAGCAUUGAUUUCAGUCCAGAUCUAGAGGCCUGAAAACCAGAAGCCCUGAGGGUAUGGAAGUUCAGGUAGAGUCAGCAGUCAGGUAGAGUGCUAAUUCAACCUUCUUCCUUUUUGUACUAUUUAGUCCUUAAACAGAUUAAUGAUGGCCCUCUGCUUUGCUUAGUCCAGCAAUUCAAAUGCUAAUUUUACUCGGAAACACCUGCAGAGACAUUCCCAGCAAUAAUGUUUCAUGUGCUAUUUGGGCAUCCCAUCAGCCAGUCAAGUUGACACAUAAAAUUAGCCAUCAAAUCAGAUAUAUUGGACUAGAUCCUAGCCAUGUGACCUCACUUAAUCUUAAUUAUCUAUUUAAGGAGCCUAUUUCCACACACAGUCAUAUUUUAAAUGGGUACUGGGUAAUGAGACUUCAGCAUACGAAUUUUAGAAUGACACGAUUUACUCCAUAACAAUUGAAGAUUUUAACAUCGUUCUAGUAGUAAUUGACAGAUUUAUCAGGCAAAAAGAUUGCAAGGAAAUAGUUGAACUAAUAGCCUUAUCAAUCAAAUGGGUGCAUUUGACAUGUAUAGGAUUUUUUUAUCCAACAAUAGCAAAAAUACAUUUAUCUCAAGCCACAAGGAACAUUCAGCAAGAGAGACCACAUUUUGGGUCAUAAAUCACCAGGUAUGCAAGAUAAUUCAACAUUUAAAAAGCAAUCAAAUUUAGUCAACUGAUCUUUGACAAAAAAGAAAAGGUAAUUCAGUGGAGAAAGCAUAGUCUCCAACAACUGCUGCUGGAACAACAGAAUGUCCUUAUGCAAUAAAAUGAAUAUUUUAUUUUCACCUGAGUUUCAGGUGAUUACUUAUACCUGAGUUUCAGGGACAAAAUAAACCUUAGAUAUCAACAAAACAUUCAGGGAUGAGAAACUCAGGUGUAAGUACUGUCUAGAGCCAGGGAGUGUCGCUCCCAGCAAAAGAGCCCAAAAUAUCAAGUAAAUUAACCCAUACUUUGUGCAGAUCAUUGGAGAGAAAACAAAGAGUUUAUAGAAAGGUGACGCAGACACUGAGGCUGAAGAGAAAGGAGGCUUGGAACCCUGCAUGGGUUUACCAAAUGCUAGGGCUAGUUCCAGGCUUUGAAUGGCUGCAAUUCAAAAAGCCAGAGUGUCUUCCCACUUUCAAAUCAGUCGUUUAGUUUCCAGAGGUAUGGAGGAUGGAGCUGAUUGAAAUUACUUAAAUAAAAGACAUAGAAUUUAGAAGCUGGAGUGCAGGGAAGCUUAUCAAGAUUCAGGAGAAAGUUAAAAGCCAAUCCAGGAAAUCCAAGGAAGUGAAUAAAAUGACGCAGGAUCUAAAAGGAAAAAAAUAGCCAUUUUAGAAAAGAACCAAAGUGAACUUCUAGAACUAAAAAAAUCACUACAAAAAUUUUGUAAUACAAUCAGAACUAUUAACAGCAGAAUAGACCAAGCUGAGGAAGGAAUCUCAGUGCUCACAGAUUGAUUAAUCAAAUAAACUCAGACAAAAAUGAAAAAUAAAUUCUAAUAAACAAAACUGAAGUGAAAUAUAGGAUUAAGUAAAGGACAAAAACUAUGUCUCAUUGGCAUUUCUGAGAAAAAAGAGAAAGUAAGGAACUUUGAAAAAAUAACGUUUGAGGAUAUAGUCCAUGAAAAUAUCUUCAAUCUUGCUAAAGAGUUUGACAUACAAAGUCAACAAACACAGAAAACCCCUGCAAGAUAAUGUACAACCAAAUCACCCCCCAGGCAUAUAGUCAUCAGACUGAUCAAGGUCAAAGUGAGAGAAAAACUCUUAAAGGCAGCUACAUAGAAGGAUCAGGUCACAUAAAAAGACAACCCCAUCAGGCUAGCAGUGGAUAUCUCAGAAGAAAUCUUACAGGCCAGAAGAAAUUAAGGGCCUAUUUUCAGCAUCCCUAAAAACAGAAAUUCCAACCAAGAAUUUCGUAUCCUGAAAAAUAAAGCUUCAUGAGUGAAAGAGACCUAAAAUCCUUUUCAGGGAUGCAAAUGCUAAGGAAAUUAGACCAGCCUUACAAGAGGUCCUUAAGGGAGUGCUAAACAUGGAAACAAAAUAACAUCUGCUACCACAGAAACACACUUCAGCACAUAAUCUAAAGACACUAUAAACAACUACACAAUUAAGUCUACAAAACAACCAGCUAACAACACAAAGACAGGAUAAAAAUUUUACAUGUCAAUGCUAACUUUGAUUGUAGAUCAUCUAAAUGUCCCACAUAAAAGACAUAGAGUGGCAAGUUGAAUAAAAUGACAAGCCUCAACCCUUUACUGCCUUCAAAAGGCCCAUUUCACAUGUAAUGACAUCCACAGUCUCAAAGUAAAACAGAUGGAGAAAAAUCUAUCAUGCAAAUGAAAAACAAAAAAGACCAAGAGUUGCUAUUCUUAUAUCAGAAAAAAAUAGGCUUUGAACACAAAAUAAUUAAAAAAGGAGGAAAAGGGAAAUUACAUAAUGGUAAAGGGUUCAAUUCGUCAAGAAGAGUUAACUAUUCUUAAUGUAUAUUCACCCAAUAUUGGAGCACACAGAUUCAUUUUAAAAAAGUUCUUUUUAACCUGUAAGAAUAUUUAGACAGAUGCACUAUAGUAGUGGGAAAUUUCAACACCCUACUGACAGUAUUAGACAGAGCUUGAGACAGAAAACUAACAAAGAUAUUCUAGAUUUAGUCUCGAUCCUUGACCAUUUAUACAUAAUAGACAUCUAGAAUAUUCCAUCCAACAACCACAGAAAAAGAUUCUUCUCAUUAGCACAUGGAACUUAUAGUAAGAUUUAAGGUAGGCUUGAUCAUAAAGCAAGUUUCAGUAAACUAAAAAAAUGUAAAUUAUACUAAGCACAAUCUUGGACUACAAUGUAAUAAAAAUAGAAAAAAAAUCAAGCUAUCUCAAAACUACACAAAUACAUAAAAUUUAAACAACUUUCUCCUGAAUAAACUGCUAAAUGAACGAUGAAAUUAAGGCAUGAAGAAAAAAAUUAAAAUUAGUGAAAAUAGUGGAACAACUUACCAAAAUUUGUGGGUUGCAGCUAAAGCAAUAUUAACAGGAAAGUUUAUAGCACUGAAUGGCUUAAUCAGGAAGUUAGAAAAAUCUCAAAUUAGCAAUUUAACAUUGAGCAUACAGACAUUGAGAAAAAAGAAAUAACAAACCCCAAAGCUAGCAGAAUAAAAUAAAUGUAAACCACAAAUAAAAUUCUAAGGCAUAUCUACCAUCUGAAUGGACCCCUCCUCUUAUCCAAGGGCAUUCCAGAGUCAACCUAAAAAUCAAGUUCAGGCCAUGAUGGAAGAGACGGAGUUGGACAUGCCUCAUUAUUCCCUACUGCCUUUUGGAACUCAGGAAAAGCUGAUCAGCAUUAACAUCAACACAGACCUUAAGUCUGAUAAGAAGCAUUUAAAAUCUAUUGUCUCUGAAACUUGCUAUUUGGUGGCUUCGUCUGCAUCAUAAAACUAUCUCCAAAAACCCUCAUUUUAACCUAGACAUUCUUUUCUAUUGAUAUAACUCUUUCAACCAAUUGCCAAUCAGAAAAGUUUUAAAUCUGUUUAUGACCUGGAAGCCCCCACUUUGAAUUGUUCCACACUUCCAGAUCAAGCCAAUGUAAAUCUUAUAUGCAUUGAUUGAUGCAUUAUGUCUCCCUAAAAUGUACAAAAAGCUAGCUGUACCCUGACCCCAUUGGGCACAUGUCAUCAGGACCUCCUGAGGCUGUUUCACAGGCAUGUCUUUAACCUUGGUAAAAUAAACUUUCUAAAUUAAGAACAACCUCAAAUAUUUUAUAUAUAUAUAUAUAUAUAUAUAUAUAUAUAUAUAUAUAUAUAUAUAUAUACGUGUAUAUAUAUAUAUAUAUAUAUUUAGAGGGAGUCUUCAUCUCUUGAUCUAUCACCCAGUCUUGAGGGCAGUGGCGUGAUCACGGCUCACUGCAACAUCUGCCUUCAGGCUCAAGUGAUCCUCCUGCCUCAGCCUCCCAAGUAGCUGGGACUAUAGGCACAUGCCACCAUGCCUGGCUAAUUUUUGCAUUUUUUUGUAGAGACAGGGUCUCAGUAUGUUGCCCAGGCUGGUCUCAAACUCCUAAGCUCAAGCAAUUUACCUGCUUGACCUUCCAAAGUGCUGGGAUUACAGAUGUGAGCCAUCAUGCCUGACCUUUCUCAGAUAUUUUAGGUUCACAAAUUGGAAACCAUGAAGGGAUUCUGAGUGGAGGUGCCCCUGACUUUAGACAAAUCUCCUAUCGGUGCUUCGUAUUAGCUUUAGCUACUUUUUUGGCUCAAACCAAUAGGACAAUUUGCAGACACCUGGGUGCUCCCCCUCACUACUCCAGAGAAUCCCUGAUCUCCAAAAAUUUGGUUGAGAUAUAAAGUUUAUUUUGUUGCACACCUUCUUUUCAAGACAUAUAGGAAACAGAUUAUCUAAGAAUGACUCCUUCACACACCUAUUUUGUUUUACGGUGCCUCUCCUUGCAAGUGGUUGUGUAAAUGAAAGAACAUGUCACAUCUUCUAAUAUUCCAGUUUAGUUAAACAUUACGUCUGUUCUUGUGCACAUUUUAAACUAACAGGGAAAUUACAUCAAGGAAAAUUCAGAGCCAAAAAGUUGACCUGCAACUAUAAAGUUUCUAAGUUCUCUGUCAAUCUCUCUGUUUUCUUUUCUUCGUGCUUUUUACGUCUCCUGUUAAUUUUCUAUUAGAUAAAAUCCACUGUUUACAUCCAAAUGUUUCUUUUCAUUAUUUGCUUCUGCAAACCACUGAGUUUGUAUUAAUACUUUAUGGCUAGAGUUCUGAAGUAAAAGCUAUAAGAUUUUUGUUUGUAUAAGUGUGUAUGUGUGUAUUUAUGUGUAUGUAUUGUAUUAGUCCAUUUUCACACUGCUGAUAAAGACAUACCGGAGACUGGGUAAUUUACAAAAUAAAGAGGAUUAAUAGACACAUGUAGAACAUGGCUGGGGAGGCCUAACAAUCAUGAUGGAAAGCAAGGAGGAACAAGUCACAUCUUAUGUGGAUGAUGGCAGGCAGAGAGAGCUUGUGCAGGGAAACUCCCACUUAUAAAACCAUCAGAUCUUGUGAGAUUUAUUCACUAUCAUGAGAACAGCACAGAAAAGACUUCAUGAUUCAAUUACUUCCCACCAGAUUCCUUUAACAACACAUGGGAAUUUGAGAUGAGACUUGGGUGGGGACACAGCCAAACCAUAUUAUUCUGCCCCUUGCCCCUCCCAAAUCUCAUUUCCUCACAUGUCAAAACCAAUCAUGUUUCCCCAACAGUCCCCCAAAGUCUCAACUCAUUUCAGUAUUAGCUCAAAAGCCCAUAGUCCAAUGUUGCAUCUGAGACAAGGCAAAUCACUUCUGCCUAUGAGUCUGUAAAAUCAAAAGCAAGUUAGCUACUUCCUAGCUACAAAGGGGGUACAGGUAUUGGGUAAAUACACCCAUUCCAUAUUAAAGAAAUUGGCCAAAACAAAAAGGCUACAGGCCCCAUGCCAGUCUGAAAUCCAGCAGGUCAGUUAAAUUUUAAGGCUCCAAAAUGAUCUCCUUUGACUCCAGGUCUCAUAUCCAGGUCACACAGACACAAAAGGUGGGUCUCCAUGGUCUUGGGCAGCUCUGCCUAUGUGGCUUUGCAAGGUGCAGUCUCCCUUCUGGCUGCCUUCACAGGCUGUCAUUGAGUGUCUGUGGCUUUUUCAGGCACACAGUGCAAGCCAUCCGUUGAUCUAACAUUCUGGGAUCUGGAGGACUGGAGGAUGGUGACUCUCUUCUCACAGAUCCACUAGGUGGUGCCCCAGUAGGGACACUGUGUGGGGGCUCCAACCCCACAUUUCUAUUCUGCACUGCCCUAGCAGAGAUUCUCCAUGAGGUCCCUGACCCUGCAGCAAACUUCUGCCUGGACAUCCUGGCAUUUCCAUACAUCUGAAAUCCAUGUGGAGGUCCCCAAACCCCACUUCUUGACUUGUGUACACUCACAGGCUCAACGCCACAUGGAAGCUGCCAAGGCUUGGUGCUUGCACCCUCUGAAGCCAUGGCCUGAACUCUAGUUUGGCCCCUUUUAGCCAUUGCUGGAGUGGCUGAGACAUAGGACAGCAAGUCCAUGGACUGCACACAGCAUGGGGAUCCUGGGUUCAGGCAACAAAACCACUGUCUCCUACUAGGCCUCCAGGCCUGUGAUGGAAGGGUCUCCAUGAAUACCUCUGACAUGCCCUGGAGGCAUUUUUCCCGUUGUCUUGGGGAUUAACAUUUGCCUCCUCAUUACUUAUGCAAAUUUCUGCAGCUGGCUUGAAUUUCUCCUCAGAAAAUGAGAGUUUCUUUUCUAUUGUAUUGUCAGGCUGCGAAUUUUCUCAACUUUUAUGCUCUGCUUCCCUUAUAAAACUGAAUGCCUUUAACAGCACCCAAGUCACAUCUUGAAUGCUUUACUGCUUAGGCAUUUCUUCUACCAGAUACCCUAAAUCAUCUCUCUCAAGUCUGAAGUUCCACAAAUCUUUAGGGCAGGGUCAAAAUGCCACCACUCUCUUUGCUAAAACAUAACAAGAGUCACCUUUGCUCCAGUUCCCAACAAGUUUCUUAUUUCCACCUGAGACCACCUCAGCCUGGACUUUAAUAUCCGUAUCACUAACAGCAUUUUGACCAAAGCCAUUCAACAAGUCUCUAGGAAGUUCCAAACUUUUAUUGUCUUCUGAGCCCCACAAGCUGUUCUAACUUCUGCCUGUUACCCAGUUCCAAAGUUUCUUUGACAUUUGAAGGUAUCUUUUCAGCAGCUCACCCUCUACUGGUACCAACUUACUGUAUUAGUGCAUUUUCACACUGCUGAUAAAGCCGUAUUGAGACUGGGCAAUUUACAAAAGAAAGAGAUUUAAUGGACUUACAGUUUCACAUGGCUGGGGAGGCCUCACAAUUAUGGUGGAAGACAAGGAGGAGAAAGUCACAUCUUAUGUGGAUGGCACCAGGCAAAAAGGGAGAGUUUGUGCAGGGAAAUUUGGGUGGGGACACGGCCAAACUGUAUCACGUAUGCCUAUUUUGUUAUGUGUUUUUGACCACAAGGUACCAAGUUGACUUAAAGAGUACUCAUAAAUUAAAUAAAAAGCCAAACUGCUUUUCAAGUUCAUGUGACUUAAGUAAACUCUAAUAAAUUAGUUGGCUUUAAAAUCAUUGGUAAAGUAAUAUUAGAGAUGUUUCAAGAAUUGUCAGCCUACAUUUCUGUCUGCAUUAUUGAUCAAGUGAUUUUAUACUUAUCCCUUCCAAAUACUAUAAGGUGUCAAAAUUUGCCAUAAGGGUUAAAAACUAUAAACCCAGCCAAAAACAGAAUGACUUUUGCUUGUAUAAUUUUUUGAUAAAUAAAACAUUAAUAUUGUUGGUUUAAUGGAAAGAGCUAAAGUUUGAAUUAUUGGUAAAGUAACCAUAUCUUUAAUCUUAAGAUUCUUAUGUAAAAACCUGAAAUUUGCAGGACUUAAAAAUGGUUGACAGGUAAAUAACUUUAAAUGAUGACUAUCACAUUUUUUAUAAAUAAUCUAGGUAAACGAUCAAAUAAAAUAAUUAGGUA